GAUGAACGCUGGCGGCGUGCUUAACACAUGCAAGUCGAGCGAGUGAGUUCUUCGGAACGAUCUAGCGGCGGACGGGUGAGUAACACGUGGGCAACCUGCCUCAUAGAGGGGAAUAGCCUUCCGAAAGGGAGAUUAAUACCGCAUAAAAUUAUCGAGUGGCAUCACAUGAUAAUCAAAGGAGUAAUCCGCUAUGAGAUGGGCCCGCGGCGCAUUAGCCAGUUGGUGAGGUAACGGCUCACCAAGGCGACGAUGCGUAGCCGACCUGAGAGGGUGAUCGGCCACAUUGGGACUGGAAAACGGCCCAGACUCCUACGGGAGGCAGCAGUGGGGAAUAUUGCACAAUGGGGGAAACCCUGAUGCAGCAACGCCGCGUGAGUGAUGAAGGUCUUCGGAUUGUAAAGCUCUGUCUUUGGGGACGAUAAUGACGGUACCAAAGGAGGAAGCCACGGCUAACUACGUGCCAGCAGCCGCCGUAA
rnacentral:rRNA from 1 species